AAGAGGAGGAGAGGCACCUACAAGUCGUCCAUAUGCAUGGCCGCCGCCGCCACCACCAGCUCCUCCCAUCGAGUCUCACACCCACUCAUACUUGUGUGCAUUCAAAGUUCUAUCAAGCCAUAUUACAUAUAUAUGUAUAUUUCCUGUCGUCGUUGCUCUCUUUUUGUGGAUGAACAGACGUGAAGGAACACUCGCCUCUCUCCUCUCCUCUCAUUCCCUCCCCACCCACUUCCACACACACACACACACAAAUGAAGAACAGGAAAAACGGGAUGGAGAGGACGACAGCAUACAUCACCUUCACAUCGUUCUUGCGUUCUCCUUCGACUUGAGUGCGCGUUUCCGUGAAGGCUGUCUGCGGGCGCGUUGCAGCGCAAAGGGUGUGCAGGUGAUCGAUGAGGGUUUCGUCUCCCCUGUUGCUCGCCCCAUCUCUCCUCCUUUUCGGCGCAUCAGACCACAUCCUCGCCACUUCAUCCGUCGUUCAGUGUCCACACGUCUGCGGACACAUGCGCGCGCGCGCGUGUGUGUGUGUGUGGGGGGGGGGGGGGGGGAAGGGGUCUGGUCAUAGCAGAGACUGAGACGUUGGAGCAGAGAAAAGACAACGGGGCAGCGGCUCUCCCCAGCCGCCGCCCUCUCCUCUCGUCCUGCCAUUUUCAUUGAGCGCAUCCCAGGGGGUGGGGCUUGUGUGCCCGCUGUGGUUGCCCCACCCAAUCAUUCACUACCCACUGCCCACACGCACACGCAUGUUCACGUGCUUUGUUGUCGGCUGCCGCUCUUCGCAUGCACUCGACUGCUAUGGUGCCCUUGCGGUCUCUCUCCUCUCUCUCUGUCGCCACCAGGUAUGGAGGAGAGGGCAUAUGCCGCUCAUGAACCGUCUUUCUUCUUCUUCUGUCUUCACAACUGGCCAUGGCAUCCUCCUUUCUCUCGUGUCAAACACAUUGCUGUGAUAACACACACCUACCCAUCUCCACGCUCAUAUAUACACAUGUGCACGUCCACAUACACACACAUGACAAG
rnacentral:misc_RNA from 1 species